UAACGUAGGGUGCGAGCGUUAAUCGGAAUUACUGGGCGGUAAGCGUGCGUCAGGCGGCUUUGCAAGACAGAUGUGAAAUCCCCGGGCUAACCUGGGAACUGCAUUUGUGACUGCAUGGCUGGAGUGCGGCGAGAGGGGGAUGGAAUUCCGCGUGUAGCAGUGAAAUGCGUAGAUAUGCGGAGGAACACCGAUGGACGGAAGGCAAUCCCCUGGGCCUGCACUGACGCUCAUGCACGAAAGCGUGGGGAGCAAACAGG
rnacentral:rRNA from 1 species